UCAGUCGGCCGGACGGCUGCUCCGGCAACGGUCGAAAGGCCGCCGGGGAGGAAAGUCCGGGCUCCCUUGACAUACGGUGCCGGAUAACGUCCGGCGGGGGUGACCCCAGGGAAAGUGCCACAGAGAACGAACCGCCCUGCUUCGCCUUCGGGCUUCGCAGGGUAAGGGUGAAAAGGUGCGGUAAGAGCGCACCGCGGGUCCGGCAACGGAGCCGGCAUGGCAAACCCCACCGGGAGCAAAACCGAAUAGGGACGGCGUAGCGGGCUGUUCGCGGAAGCGAUAACGCCGCGGGGCGAUGUCAGGCCCGCCGUCCGGGUAGGUUGCUCGAGGCCAUGUGCAAACAUGGUCCCAGAGGAAUGGCCGUCACGUAUCGUUCGCGCAAGCAGACGGUGCCUUACAGAACCCGGCUUACAGGCCGGCUGAUAUU
rnacentral:RNase_P_RNA from 1 species